rnacentral:rRNA from 1 species
UACGUAGGGUGCAAGCGUUGUCCGGAAUUAUUGGGCGUAAAGAGCUCGUAGGCGGUUCGUCACGUCGGCUGUGAAAUCCCGAGGCUCAACCUCGGGUCUGCAGUCGAUACGGGCGGACUUGAGUACUGCAGGGGAGACUGGAAUUCCUGGUGUAGCGGUGAAAAUGCGCAGAUAUCAGGAGGAACACCGGUGGCGAAGGCGGGUCUCUGGGCAGUAACUGACGCUGAGGAGCGAAAGCGUGGGGAGCGAACAGG